rnacentral:rRNA from 1 species
GUAAUACGAAGGGUGCAAGCGUUAAUCGGAAUUACUGGGCGUAAAGCGUGCGUAGGCGGUUUCUUAAGUCUGCUGUGAAAUCCCCGGGCUCAACCUGGGAAUGGCAGUGGAUACUGGGAGGCUAGAGUGUGUCAGAGGGUGGUGGAAUUCCCGGUGUAGCGGUGAAAUGCGUAGAGAUCGGGAGGAACAUCAGUGGCGAAGGCGGCCACCUGGGACAACACUGACGCUGAGGCACGAAAGCGUGGGGAGCAAACAGG